rnacentral:lncRNA from 1 species
GGGACCUCUAGUGGAAAACUACAAAGCCCUGCAAACCAAAAAAAGAGUUUUUUUACUAGAACAUAUCUAUGACUCCAUAACUUAGUCUCUCUCUCUCUCUAGUUUUUUCUCUGCAGAAUGGGUUGCUUUAUUCAUGCAUGCCUGACCCAUUUUGCAAUUAUUCCCCCUCAUAACUGGACACAUCCUCCCUCAUUAUUCUCUCUCUUCCAUCCCAGGACCAGUCGCUGUCCCCCUCUCCCACCUUCUCCCAUCUACCACCUUGGGCUUGUGACAUGGACACAAGACUGUGUGGCUCAGCCCACUGCACCAACAUUUGCUCCUUUGGGAGCCCUAUUAAUGAAAGGUACUUCUAUGUCUCUCCUACCCCACCACAAGAAAGAAAAUGCCUAUCAACCCACACCCCACCCCAAACCCUAACAACAACAACAAUAACCUCCUCAUAUUCAUGCAAACUCUCCC